rnacentral:pre_miRNA from 1 species
AGGGCUUAGCUGCUUGUGAGCAGGUCCACAUCAAAUCGUGUUCACAGUGGCUAAGUUCCGC